rnacentral:ncRNA from 1 species
UUGGCCGAGGCAACAUAUCUAUUAAAAGAUAACACAAGUGUCCUAAGAUGAGCUCAAUGAUAACAUAAAUAUCGUGUGAAACAAAAGGGUAAACACUCAUUUGAUUUUUAUUUUCAAUACAAAUACACACCAUGGAAGUGUGUCCUAUCGAUCCUUUAGAAUUUUGAAGCCCUACAAUUAAGAACCACAAACAACAACUAGAUCAUAAUGCUAUAGCUCAUAUGAAUGAAAAAUUUCACCCUUAAGGUAGGCUCAAG